CAUAGGUUAAUGAGGCGAACCGGGGGAACUGAAACAUCUAAGUACCCCGAGGAAAAGAAAUCAACCGAGAUUCCCCCAGUAGCGGCGAGCGAACGGGGAGGAGCCCAGAGCCUGAAUCAGUGUGUGUGUUAGUGGAAGCGUCUGGAAAGGCGCGCGAUACAGGGUGACAGCCCCGUACACAAAAAUGCACAUAUUGUGAGCUCGAUGAGUAGGGCGGGACACGUGGUAUCCUGUCUGAAUAUGGGGGGACCAUCCUCCAAGGCUAAAUACUCCUGACUGACCGAUAGUGAACCAGUACCGUGAGGGAAAGGCGAAAAGAACCCCGGCGAGGGGAGUGAAAAAGAACCUGAAACCGUGUACGUACAAGCAGUGGGAGCCUCUUAAUGGGGUGACUGCGUACCUUUUGUAUAAUGGGUCAGCGACUUAUAUUCUGUAGCAAGGUUAACCGAAUAGGGGAGCCGAAGGGAAACCGAGUCUUAACUGGGCGUUAAGUUGCAGGGUAUAGACCCGAAACCCGGUGAUCUAGCCAUGGGCAGGUUGAAGGUUGGGUAACACUAACUGGAGGACCGAACCGACUAAUGUUGAAAAAUUAGCGGAUGACUUGUGGCUGGGGGUGAAAGGCCAAUCAAACCGGGAGAUAGCUGGUUCUCCCCGAAAGCUAUUUAGGUAGCGCCUCGUGAAUUCAUCUCCGGGGGUAGAGCACUGUUUCGGCAAGGGGGUCAUCCCGACUUACCAACCCGAUGCAAACUGCGAAUACCGGAGAAUGUUAUCACGGGAGACACACGGCGGGUGCUAACGUCCGUCGUGAAGAGGGAAACAACCCAGACCGCCAGCUAAGGUCCCAAAGUCAUGGUUAAGUGGGAAACGAUGUGGGAAGGCCCAGACAGCCAGGAUGUUGGCUUAGAAGCAGCCAUCAUUUAAAGAAAGCGUAAUAGCUCACUGGUCGAGUCGGCCUGCGCGGAAGAUGUAACGGGGCUAAACCAUGCACCGAAGCUGCGGCAGCGACGCUUAUGCGUUGUUGGGUAGGGGAGCGUUCUGUAAGCCUGUGAAGGUGGCCUGUGAGGGUUGCUGGAGGUAUCAGAAGUGCGAAUGCUGACAUAAGUAACGAUAAAGCGGGUGAAAAGCCCGCUCGCCGGAAGACCAAGGGUUCCUGUCCAACGUUAAUCGGGGCAGGGUGAGUCGACCCCUAAGGCGAGGCCGAAAGGCGUAGUCGAUGGGAAACAGGUUAAUAUUCCUGUACUUGGUGUUACUGCGAAGGGGGGACGGAGAAGGCUAUGUUGGCCGGGCGACGGUUGUCCCGGUUUAAGCGUGUAGGCUGGUUUUCCAGGCAAAUCCGGAAAAUCAAGGCUGAGGCGUGAUGACGAGGCACUACGGUGCUGAAGCGACAAAUGCCCUGCUUCCAGGAAAAGCCUCUAAGCAUCAGGUAACAUCAAAUCGUACCCCAAACCGACACAGGUGGUCAGGUAGAGAAUA
rnacentral:rRNA from 1 species